AACAACAACAACAAAUAUGGCGGAAUCUGUAUUGUCAAACACGGAAGAAGAAGGAUACAACCAUAAUUAAACCAAGAAGUUUAUGAAGAAGGGAUCACUGGAUUUUGUCACUUUGGUUCAAGAAACAGAAAAGGAUAUCAUAGACCACCUUACUUAUACGGAAACAUAGGAGCUGUUGAAGGAAAUUGCUGCCAGACAGUCAACAGUUAUCACUGACAGCCUGUCCUGGCCCAGCUGGGACCAUCCUCAAGCUAACCAUGAUGAUGUGUUUGCAAGAAUUGUUACUUUUGGAAGAACAUGAUGAAGACGAGCUUUGUUGUGGCAUGGCCUGACAAUACUGUACAAGCCAGAGACCAGUAUGUUUACUGUUGUUGAAUAUGACCCAUUUUUCAUGUUUAUUUUUCUGUGGGCCUGUUUAACAGAAUUAAUAAUGCACUUUAUCUAUUUCAAAUAUGUUAUUUUUCUGUGGACUGUUGAACGGAAUUAUUAAUGCAUUUUAUCUAUAUCAAAUAUUUUAUUUGUC